UACGAAGGGGGCUAGCGUUGUUCGGAAUUACUGGGCGUAAAGCGCGCGCAGGCGGCUCUUCAAGUCAGGGGUGAAAGCCCAGAGCUCAACUCUGGAACUGCCUUUGAGACUGAAGAGCUUGAGUACGGGAGAGGUGAGUGGAAUUCCCAGUGUAGAGGUGAAAUUCGUAGAUAUUGGGAAGAACACCGGUGGCGAAGGCGACUUACUGGACACAUAUUGACGCUGAGGUGCGAAAGCGUGGGGAGCAAACAGG
rnacentral:rRNA from 1 species